rnacentral:rRNA from 1 species
GUCUAGUCUUGUCUCGACACCAGACACCUCUACCGUUUCAACUGGCCCUAAUUUAGGCAUCCUACCUGAAGUUCGAUUACUCUAUGUCAUGUUCUAACUCACCGAUUUUUUCAAAAUACAAGGGCCACAUGAUGUACCUAACGACCAGGAACAUGUAGGACCUCCGUCUCUUCUUCUAGAAGUCCCACAACUUGGGCUGACUCUGUGUGGGGUCACUGCCCUACCUUUGCUUUGUGUCACGGAAACGUUUCUCUUGGGUCGCAGCUAAGACUGUUACGAAGUUGUUAUAUAAGCCACCUACUAACCAACUGCACCUGCCUACCUGAAGACAGAUAGACAACCACCGGGUAGCGCUAGGAACAUGUUCCACUCACUUACGGUUCGCGUUAAAAACCUUACAUGCCAUCAUAUCUUCUAUAACCACAACCUGAUUACUAAACAACUGUCCCUCCUCUCGCCAUAAAUGUAACACGUAAUGUAGGUACUCAAGUUACCCGACAUGGACGUAGAACACUACUUGUAUCCAAUGUCAUUAUACACUAGAGUAAACACAACGUUUAUAACAAAAUAGUGGAUGCCUUUUCAGAGCUUAUACUCUAGCACUGAUACUCUCUCAUAGUCCCACUGGACGGUUCAAAGGACAUGGAGCUUUAGCACCUGAC